CUCAUCUCUGUUGUGGGUCACAGAAGCAUGCGCCUCUCAAACCAGCCAUGAAACCUUCUCUGUGGCAGUCCCUUACUCCAGAGGCAUCACACAGAGAGGCCCGGCAGAAUCUGCGUCUCACUGGCUCCCUUCCACCCAUUGACAUCUGGUCACAUCCUAUGUGCCCAUCACAUUUUCGUUAAUUCCGGACACCAAGGACUGGAGCCUCACCUCUCAGCAGGAAAUGACUUUCCCUAAGAGGUGGAACUGAAAAUAAGCAAUGUGGGCAUGAUGUCAUCCUGAUUGAACUGUGAAAACUGAUCAACUGAAAUUUUCCUCACUAAAUGAAAAGUUCAAGACCUUCCUCUUCUACAGGAUGUUCCUUCUAAGACAGGCGGUCAUGGAUGAAGCCAUCUGAAACCGUG